ACUCAUGUAGCUCAGUCAGUAGAGUGUGAGACUGUGACUCUCAGGGUUGUGAGUUCGAACUCCAUGUUGGGCA